UUUUUCCAUCAUCCAAU
rnacentral:sRNA from 1 species